AUCACAACCAAUUCUUUCUCUAGCCAAGGAGAUCACUGCGAAUAGAUUGCGUUCUGCAUGAUGCUUAAUGAGCCAUGAUUGGGAUAGGUGAGGGGAAAUGGCACUUUGGAUUGAUUUAGAAAGGAUUCAGUGGAGGCAGUGUACAACUCCACAAAUAGCAGCAGGUCUUAUGGGGUGCCAUAGAAUUAUAUAACAGGAACCUCAAGUAAAACCUUCAAAAUGCGCUGCUGACUUGGGAAUUUAUCUCUUAUUUUCAAAGGCUAUUUAAAGCCAGAUUCUGGAAAAUACAGCUAGUGCAGCAGAAAUGCUGUCACAUCCUGAAGCAGUGAUUGAGCACCUGGUGGGAUGUCAGGGCCUACCCAGGGAAGCUCAGGUGCAUGCAAUGCAAUGCAAUGCAAUGCAAUGCAGCUGUGUGACCGGAAGGGAUGGAGCCAGGAUCCACCCCUUCCCAGCUCUCAUUUAAGGGCUGGCAGUGGAGGUGAGAGUAUCUGUCUGGAGAUCUCUGUCUUCCUGAGGCCUUUUGAAGGUGCCUCCUUCUUGGCUCUUAGCUGCCCAAUAAGAGCUCAAGAAAGCCACGAGUCAAG
ensembl:lncRNA